GACGAAGGAUGCAAGCGUUAUCCGGAUUCAUUGGGUUUAAAGGGCGCGUAGGCGGCCUUAUAAGUCAGUGGUGAAAUCUCGCAGCUUAACUGCGAAAUUGCCAUUGAUACUGUAGGGCUUGAGUACAGUUGCCGUUGGCGGAAUAUGACAUGUAGUGGUGAAAUACAUAGAGAUGUCAUAGAACACCGAUUGCGAAGGCAGCUAACGAAGCUGUAACUGACGCUGAGGCUCGAAAGUGCGGGGAUCAAACAGG
rnacentral:rRNA from 1 species